GCAGGGAGCAGUGGCUGGCACUGUUAGCAAGACAGACUGAAGCAUGGACACCAAGGAACUACUGGGGUGGAGGGCAGACCAUGCCAGGCCAGUGGGAUGGGACUCUAGCCAUCAUACCUCUACAGGUUAGCAGUGACAGAAAGAACUGGGGACACUAGGCAGUUCCCAUGGAAGAUGACCACGAUGUUCUGGAGAGGCAAGCAUCAGGAAAAGCUUCUUGGGAGAGGUGCCAACUAGAGAAGUCUUGAAGGACAAGUCACAGAUUGCCAGCAGAGGGGGAUGUCAUUCAGGGACCCUGUGAGGAAGAAGGCAGGUGCUACUGAAGACUUCAGGUGACAUUAUGCUAAGUGUCCCCAGACACUAACGAAGCUCUUCCUGCAGGCUGCAGCAGGCAUGUGGAGCAGGGGUGGAUGGGGAAGAUGUAUGCAUCUAUUGGAAGCCGGUGCUGGUCACACAGAGGGGCACCGGAAUAUCCAGCUGAAGACCAAGGACUUUACUCCUGUGAGAGGAGCCUGAGGGCUCUGAGAGGAAAGGGCCAGGUGACACUGCUCCAGGGAGAGAGACCAAGGAGCUGGUAUUUGCACUGAGGUACUUUGGAGGCCAGUCCAACCAUAGCUGUAUUGCCUGCUGCUGUCUGAGCUGUGGGAUUUUGGGGUGUCACCAGAGGCCAGAAUCUUAUGACUUGGGGCAAGAGAGAAACACACCAUCAAACUUCUAGUGGUAUUCUGGCUGAUUUUGGUUGCUUCCACUGACUCAUGCCAAUUUGGCGGGAGCCUUGCUGUUUCUGUUGGAUCCUGCGCCCGCUACUGAUUCAUGUUUGGUGUUUGCUAUUGAACUGGACUCUUCCUGACAACGAAGAGUGGAAUCGUCCCAAGGAACUACUUCUAAGAGGCUCCACAAACCCCUUUUCCUAUUAACCUUUUUUUUCCCUACCUCUGGUUAGUGGGUUAGAAAGGAGGUUGAAUCAUUAAAGAACCCUAAAUAAAGUAGGUUUUAAAAUAGUUCUAAACCUACAAAAAAACUGCCUCUGAAUUCCAUGAACUGAGCAGCACUGACCACACUGACUGCCCAAAGUCAAGUGAACUCAACUGCGUUCAGCUAAACUGCACCAAACUGCACCAAACUGCACCAAACUGAACUCAACUGAAUGACACUCACUGAACUGUCCUCCCCUCCUGACAUUGUGUAUUCCUCUUAGGUAGCCUCUCUUUGCUGCCUGUCUUGUGAGAGUUGGGCAUAUCCUAUUUGGCUCAUUCUGUCAAAAUCUUUCUCUGAUUUGUCACUUUAGGAUUAAAGGUGUGUACUAAA